rnacentral:antisense_RNA from 1 species
UGCUUCCUUAUUGCUCUUAGAAUGAAACCCAGAUUGACUAAAGAGCUCCUCAGUCCUCUAGGGCCUGGCCCUUUUUUCUCAUUGAUCAUACUGCCUGCUCCUAUUCUGAGGGUAUGAGGAACCUCGAGGAGGGAGGAUAUUCUGUUUCCCUAUAACGUUUUGAAGAUUCUCAGUAGAAGCAGCCUGUUUUUGACAAAAACAUCAUCAGAGUACAGCUCAGCACAUUCUCACAGACGGAAUCGCCCUGGUCCAGACAUUGUCAGCAUCCUGGAAGCUGCCAUGCCACCUAUCACCAAGCCCACCAAGGGAGCCACUACGCUGACUUCUAAAGACAGAUUAUUUUUGUCUGUUUUUGUGCUUUAUAUAAAAAUGUAUGCUCUGUG